GAAAGAUAUGGGCAGGAAAGGCUAAAGUCACAGGGCGAUGCUGCUCCUCACUGCUCACCUUCAACACAGGACACUGAUAAAUUCUACCAAAGCUCAAACCAGCAGUCUCAAGAUGAAUACUCAGUAGUCUCCAUGCCCAAUGUGGGGCUAGAACUCACAACCCUGAGAUCAAGAGUUACCAUC